rnacentral:rRNA from 1 species
AUACGGAGGGUGCAAGCGUUACUCGGAAUCACUGGGCGUAAAGGACGCGUAGGCGGGUUGGCAAGUCAGAUGUGAAAUCCUACAGCUUAACUGUAGAACUGCAUUUGAAACUGCUAACCUAGAGUAUGGGAGGGGGAGAUGGAAUUAGUGGUGUAGGGGUAAAAUCCGUAGAUAUCACUAGGAAUACCGAAAGCGAAGGCGAUCUCCUGGAACAUAACUGACGCUAAGGCGUGAAAGCGUGGGGAGCAAACAGGAUUAGAAACCCCUGUAGUCC